rnacentral:sRNA from 1 species
UCGUGCCCAAACGCCAAGUGCUUGACGACGACGAUGGUCUAUAUGAAAGCUCGAAAGGUCGAUCUCCCGAGAAGGCUUUGGAAGAGAUACGUAAGCAAGACACUCAUGAUCUCUAUUGCCCUAAGUGUACUAGUAACAUCACUAAAACAGCUCUAAUCGUUGAAAAGGGAGAUGAUUUUUCUCCCGACGACCAGAAACCUUUCGUGCUCUGGAUCCCUACCUUCAAGUUCCUUUCAAGUUCUCCCAAAGGAUCUGUCGAAAGUAAACCAUUGAAUCCUAAUCUCAGUGGACCAGACGAAGAAAACUCAUCUCAACCUGAAUCCAGUGAACCAGUCGACAAAAACUCAUCGUUUAAUCGUAGUCUCAGCAGUUUAGGUAUACAUUUCCUUAUGAUGAUGAACAAAAACUCUAUUAAAAAAAAUUCCCUUUGUCGUCCUUCAUCUUCAAUGACACAAUUGCCAUAUAUAUAUAUAUAGCUAAAACCUUGGAACGAUUGCCUACUCUUUUACGGAAUUCAAUAAUUAUUCGUAGAGACGAAAAUAGUGCUACUCCUCUACACCAAGAUGGUGCAGGUCAUCAAAGUUCUACGAGCACAUCAGUGUCUGAGCAACGUGGACGUUGGAAAAUUAGUCCCGGUGGAUGGAUAAUUCAUCGUUAAACGCCCAGCAAAUAGACAACGAAUUGACUAUCCUCUCUUCUUACCCCCUAAAAUGAACGAGUUUUUUGUUUGAUUGAAACCCAUAGUAAGUGAUUGAUGAUAGUGUAAUGAUCAUUUUGUACUGAGUUUAAAGCAUAGAAAUCAU